GUAGUUGUAGCUCAGUGGUAGAGCACUUGCUUAGCAUGUGUGAGGCACUGGGUUUGAUCCUCAGCACCACA
rnacentral:tRNA from 1 species